UACGUAGGCAGCAAGCGUUGUUCGGAAUUACUGGGCGUAGAGAGUGUGUAGGCGGUGUUCCAAGUCUGGUGUGAAAGCCCUGGGCUUAACCUAGGAAGAGCAUUCGAAACUCCCGGGCUUGAGUUCUGGAGAGGAAGGCGGAAUUCUCGGUGUAGAGGUGAAAUUCGUAGAUAUCGAGAGGAACACCGGUGGCGAAGGCGGCCUUCUGGACAGUGACUGACGCUGAGACGCGAAAGCGUGGGGAGCAAACAGG
rnacentral:rRNA from 1 species